GGUUGGAUAUAUUUAGAAUAUCUCGUCAUACUGAUUUUUCCGGAUUGUAAAAGAAACGUAAAUAGUGUAAAGGAGAGCUCAAUAUACGAUAAUUUCGAAAGAAACAGAAGGGAAAUGUGUAAAAAAGUGUUUAAAGUCAAUUUAUUCAUUUGUGUCUCCCCAUCUCAUCAUUCUCAGUAAGAUUUUUUGGGGGGUUUUCCACAUAAAAACAAAAUGAAUGAUGUGAGGGAAUGUCACUCUGGUCAACCCCAUUGGGGAUUGACGGCUUGAAGCCGUUUUCCCCAAAAACUGGAACAAGAAUGUGUCCACAGUACUAUGUUCAGUGGACCGUGAAGUUGGGGUCAAAACUUUAAUUUGGCAUUUAAAUUAGAAAGAUCAUAUCAUAGGGAACAUGUGAACUAAGUUUCAAGUUGAUUGGACUUCAACUUCAUCAAAAACUACCUUGACCAAAAACUUUAACCUUAACUUCGCACUAUCAUUUUCUAUGUUCAGUGGACCAUGAAAUUGGGGUCAAAACUUUAAUUUGGCAUUAAAAUUAGAAAGAUCAUAUCAUGGGGAACAUGUGUACUAAGUUUAAAGUUGACUUCAACUUCAUCAAAAACUACCUUGACCAAAAACUUUAGCCUGAAGUGGGGCGAACGGACGUCGGACAAACGAAUAGACGGACCAUUGGACGUACAGACCAGAAAACAUAAUGCCCCUCUACUAUCAAAGGUGGGGCAUACAAAUACAGUUUUAUUUCUAGCAAGGCUAAGGGAAUUUGAUUGGUUAACAUAGAAGAAAAUGUAAAUUUAACUAGCCUGUUAGCCGUGGCUAGCCAUCUGUAGUUUAUUCCAGAUUUAAAAAAAUUACUAGUUUCAAAUAAUUCCUUGUUUAAAACAAAACAACAAUAAAACUACUAAUAUAACUACAUAUAGAAAACACAUAUAUUGCACUAACCAAUGUGUGAAAACUUGGCACCAUAUAUAACUGGUACUUAAUUUGGGUAUUCAACCUUGUAAGAGUAUCAAAUCUUCAACUUCAAAAACAACAUAAUGGCACAGUAAUUCAUCUCAAUAUCAACACUUUUCAUUGCUAUCUCUAUUUAGUAGAUGAAUAAUUUGCCCUUCAUCUGUAUUAUCUUUAUAUAAUUCCAGAAACAUUGCUAUGAAGUUCAACUUAAAGGUUUUUGAAAAUUUACUUUCAUUAUA
rnacentral:lncRNA from 1 species